rnacentral:tRNA from 1 species
UGCCGUGUGGUGUAAAGGUGCGCACAACGGAUUUUGGUUCCGUUGGAUUGGGUUCGAUUCCUAACACGGCAA